rnacentral:rRNA from 1 species
CCUACGGGGGGCAGCAGUGGGGAAUAUUGCACAAUGGGGGAAACCCUGAUGCAGCGACGCCGCGUGAGUGAAGAAGUAUUUCGGUAUGUAAAGCUCUAUCAGCAGGGAAGAAAAAAGACGGUACCUGACUAAGAACCCCCGCCGAACUACGUCCCAGCAGCCGCGGUAAUACGUAGGGGGCAAGCGUUAUCCGGAUUUACUGGGUGGAAAGGGAGCGUAGACGGCUGUGCAAGUCUGAAGUGAAAGCCCAGGGCUCAACCCUGGGACUGCUUGGGAAACUGUGGAGCUGGAGUGCUGGAGAGGUAAGUGGAAUUCCUAGUGUAGCGGUGAAAUGCGUAGAUAUUAGGAGGAACACCAGUGGCGAAGGCGGCUUACUGGACAGUAACUGACGUUGAGGCUCGAAAGCGUGGGGAGCAAACAGGAUUAGAUACCCUGGUAGUC